UUCCGGUUGAUCCUGCCGGACCCCACUGCUAUCGAGGUGGGACUAAGCCAUGCUAGUUGAGCGCACAGAACUAUGUCUGUGAGCGGCACACUGCUCAGUAACACGUAGUUAACCUACCCUUAGGACGUGGACAACCCCGAGAAAUUGGGGCUAAUCCACGAUAGAUGUAAUGUCCUGGAAUGGUAUUACGUCCAAAGGUAUCCCAUACAUGUUUGGUAUACGCCUAAGGAUGGGGCUGCGGCCGAUCAGGCAGUUGGUGAGGUAAUGGCUCACCAAACCUUUGACCGGUACGGGCCAUGAGAGUGGUAGCCCGGAGAUGGACACUGAGACAAGGGUCCAGGCCCUACGGGGCGCAGCAGGCGCGAAACCUCCUCAAUGCACUUACGUGCGAAGGGGCUACCUCGAGUGCCACCUGAUGAAGGUGGCUUUUCCUAGGUCUAAAAAGCCUUGGGAAUAAGAGGGGGGCAAGACUGGUGUCAGCCGCCGCGGUAACACCAGCCCCUCGAGUGGUGGGGAUGAUUAUUGGGCCUAAAGCGUCCGUAGCCUGCCGUAUAAGUUUCCCGUUAAAUCCAGCGUCUUAAGCGUUGGACCGCGGGAAAUACUGUACGGCUAGAGAGUGGGAGAGGUUAGCGGUAUUCUGGGGGU
rnacentral:rRNA from 1 species